rnacentral:rRNA from 1 species
UACGUAGGUGGCAAGCGUUGUCCGGAUUUAUUGGGCGUAAAGAGCCCGCAGGCGGCCUGUUAAGUUUCAGGUGAAAUCUCCUGGCUCAACUGGGAGAGGUCCUGGAAAACUAUCAGGCUUGAGGCAGAGAGAGGGAUGUGGAAUUCCCGGUGUAGUGGUGAAAUGCGUAGAUAUCGGGAGGAACACCAGUGGCGAAGGCGGCAUCCUGGCUCUGUCCCUGACGCUCAGGGGCGAAAGCGUGGGGAGGCAAACCGG